rnacentral:rRNA from 1 species
CACGUAGGGGGCGAGCGUUGUCCGGAUUUAUUGGGCGUAAAGAGCUCGUAGGCGGCUCAGUAAGUCAGGUGUAAAAACUCCAGGCUCAACCUGGAGACGCCACCUGAUACUGCUGUGGGCUAGAGUCCGGUAGGGGAGCAUGGAAUUCCUGGUGUAGCGGUGAAAUGCGCAGAUAUCAGGAGGAACACCAGUGGCGAAGGCGGUGCCUCUGGGCCGGAACUGACGCUGAGGAGCGGAAAGCGUGGGGAGCAAACAGG